AAUCAACGCUGGCGGCGUGCCUCAGACAUGCAAGUCGAACGAUUAAAGCUCUCUUCGGAGAGUGCAUAGAGUGGCGCACGGGUGAGUAACACGUAAGUAAUCUACCUUCGAGUGGGGAAUAACGUCCGGAAACGGACGCUAAUACCGCAUAAUGCAGCGGCAUCGUAAGAUGACAGUUGUUAAAGAUUUAUCGCUUGAAGAGGAGCUUGCGGCAGAUUAGCUAGUUGGUAAGGUAAUGGCUUACCAAGGCUACGAUCUGUAACCGGUCUUAGAGGACGGUCGGUCACACUGACACUGAAUAACGGGUCAGACUCCUACGGGAGGCAGCAGUCGGGAAUUUUGGGCAAUGGGCGAAAGCCUGACCCAGCAACGCCGCGUGAAGGAUGAAGGCCUUCGGGUUGGUAAAACUACUUUCGCGCACGACGAUAAUGACGGUAGUGCGAGAAGAAGACUCCGGCUAACUUCGUGCCAGCAGCCGCGGUAAU
rnacentral:rRNA from 1 species